rnacentral:rRNA from 1 species
UACGUAGGGCGCAAGCGUUAUCCGGAAUUAUUGGGCGUAAAGAGCUCGUAGGCGGUCUGUCGCGUCCGUUGUGAAAACUCGAGGCUCAACCUCGGGCUUGCAGUGGAUACGGGCAGACUAGAGUGCGGUAGGGGAGACUGGAAUUCCUGGUGUAGCGGUGAAAUGCGCAGAUAUCAGGAGGAACACCGGUGGCGAAGGCGGCUUGCUGGGCCUUACCUGACGCUGAGGAGCGAAAGCGUGGGGAGCGAACAGG